GUGAGUAACACGUGGGUAACCUGCCCAUCAGAAGGGGAUAACACUUGGAAACAGGUGCUAAUACCGUAUAACAAUCGAAACCGCAUGGUUUUGAUUUGAAAGGCGCUUUCGGGUGUCGCUGAUGGAUGGACCCGCGGUGCAUUAGCUAGUUGGUGAGGUAACGGCUCACCAAGGCCACGAUGCAUAGCCGACCUGAGAGGGUGAUCGGCCACAUUGGGACUGAGACACGGCCCAAACUCCUACGGGAGGCAGCAGUAGGGAAUCUUCGGCAAUGGACGAAAGUCUGACCGAGCAACGCCGCGUGAGUGAAGAAGGUUUUCGGAUCGUAAAACUCUGUUGUUAGAGAAGAACAAGGAUGAGAGUAACUGUUCAUCCCUUGACGGUAUC
rnacentral:rRNA from 1 species